UACGUAGGUGGCAAGCGUUGUCCGGAUUUACUGGGCGUAAAGGGCGCGUAGGCGGUCAGCACAAGUCAGUUGUGAAAUCUCCGGGCUUAACCCGGAAAGGUCAACUGAUACUGUGCGACUAGAGUGCGGAAGGGGCAACUGGAAUUCUCGGUGUAGCGGUGGAAUGCGCAGAUAUCAGGAGGAACACCGAUGGCGAAGGCAGUUCUCUGGGCCGUAACUGACGCUGAGGAGCGAAAGCGUGGGGAGCGAACAGG
rnacentral:rRNA from 1 species